rnacentral:rRNA from 1 species
UACGGAGGGAGCUAGCGUUGUUCGGAAUUACUGGGCGUAAAGCGCACGUAGGCGGCUAUUCAAGUCGGGGGUGAAAGCCCGGGGCUCAACCCCGGAACUGCCCUCGAAACUAGGUAGCUAGAAUCUUGGAGAGGCGAGUGGAAUUCCGAGUGUAGAGGUGAAAUUCGUAGAUAUUCGGAAGAACACCAGUGGCGAAGGCGGCUCGCUGGACAAGUAUUGACGCUGAGGUGCGAAAGCGUGGGGAGCAAACAGG